rnacentral:snRNA from 1 species
GUAUCUUUUCGGAGACAUCUGAUAAAAUUGGAACAAUACAGAAAAGAUUAGCAUGACCCCUGCGCAACGAUGACACGCACAAAUCGAGAAAUGGUCCAAAUUUUU